rnacentral:lncRNA from 1 species
AACAGGUUAUAACCUUAGCAUAUCAUCCAUAACAGGUUAUACCCAUAGUUGUUAAUCCAUAACAGGUUGUAACCAUAGCCUAUCAUCUAUAACAGGUUGUAACCAUAGCCUAUCAUCUAUAACAGGUUAUAACCUUAGCAUAUCAUCCAUAACAGGUUAUACCCAUAGUUGUUAAUCCAUAACAGGUUGUAACCAUAGCCUAUCAUCUAUAACAGGUUAUAACCUUAGCAUAUCAUCCAUAACAGGUUAUACCCAUAGUUGUUAAUCCAUAACAGGUUGUAACCAUAGCCUAUCAUCUAUAACAGGUUAUAACCUUAGCAUAUCAUCCAUAACAGGUUAUACCCAUAGUUGUUAAUCCAUAACAG